UGGGUAUAGACCCGAAACCAGGUGAUCUAUCCAUGAGCAGGUUGAAGGUUGGGUAACACUAACUGGAGGACCGAACCCACUGUCGUUGAAAAGCCAGGGGAUGACUUGUGGAUAGGGGUGAAAGGCUAAUCAAACUUGGUGAUAGCUGGUUCUCCCCGAAAGCUAUUUAGGUAGCGCCUCGGACGAAUACCAUUGGGGGUAGAGCACUGUUUCGGCUAGGGGGUCAUCCCGACUUACCAAACCGAUGCAAACUCCGAAUACCAAUGAGUACUAUCCGGGAGACAGACUGCGGGUGCUAACGUCCGUAGUCAAGAGGAAAACAAUCCAGACCGCCAGCUAAGGCCCCAAAAUUAUAGUUAAGUGGGAAACGAUGUGGGAAGGCAUAGACAGCUAGGAGGUUGGCUUAGAAGCAGCCACCCUUUAAAGAAAGCGUAAUAGCUCACUAGUCGAGUCGGCCUGCGCGGAAGAUGUAACGGGGCUAAAACUAUAUGCCGAAGCUGCGGAUGCAUAAUUUAUUAUGCGUGGUAGGGGAGCGUUCUGUAAGCCGAUGAAGGUGGAUUGAGAAGUCUGCUGGAGGUAUCAGAAGUGCGAAUGCUGACGUGAGUAACGACAAUGCGAGUGAAAAACUCGCACGCUGAAAGACCAAGGGUUCCAGUCCAACGUUAAUCGGGGCUGGGUGAGUCGACCCCUAAGGCGAGGCCGAGAGGCGUAGUCGAUGGGAAAUUGGUUAAUAUUCCAAUACUUCUGUGUAAUGCGAUGAGAGGACGGAGAAGGUUAAGUCAGCCUGGCGUUGGUUGUCCAGGUGGAAGGUUGUAGGCAUGUAUCUUAGGCAAAUCCGGGGUACUCUAUGCUGAGAACUGAUAGCAAGCUGUACUUGUACAGUGAAGUGGCUGAUACCAUGCUUCCAGGAAAAGUCUCUAAGCUUCAGUUACACAGGAAUCGUACCCGAAACCGACACAGGUGGUCAGGUCGAGUAGACCAAAGCGCUUGAGAGAACUCUGCUGAAGGAACUAGGCAAAAUGGUACCGUAACUUCGGGAGAAGGUACGCUGUUGUCUGUGAUAGGACUUGCUCCUUGAGCGGCCGACAGCCUCAGAAACCAGGCCCCUGCAACUGUUUAUUAAAAACAUAGCACUCUGCAAACACGAAAGUGGACGUAUAGGGUGUGAUGCCUGCCCGGUGCUGGAAGGUUAAUUGAUGGGGUUAGCGUAAGCGAAGCUCUUGAUCGAAGCCCC
rnacentral:rRNA from 1 species